UACGUAGGGUGCAAGCGUUGUCCGGAAUUAUUGGGCGUAAAGGGCUCGUAGGCGGUCCAUCGCGUCGGGGAGUGAAAAGCUGGGGCUCAACCCCAGUCCUGCUUCCGAUACGGGUGGACUAGAGGUAGGCAGGGGAGAACGGAAUUCCUGGUGUAGCGGUGAAAUGCGCAGAUAUCAGGAGGAACACCGGUGGCGAAGGCGGGUCUCUGGGCCGAUACUGACGCUGAGGAGCGAAAGCGUGGGGAGCGAACAGG
rnacentral:rRNA from 1 species